rnacentral:rRNA from 1 species
UCCCGGUUGAUCCUGCCAGAGGUUACUGCUAUUGGUGUUCGACUAAGCCAUGCAAGUCAUAUGUUCCUCGUGAACAUGGCAUACUGCUCAGUAACACGUGGAUAACCUGCCCUUGGGUCUGGGAUAACCCCGGGAAACUGGGGAUAAUACCGGAUAGCGCAUAUGUGCUGGAAUGCUUUAUGCGUAAAACGGAUUCGUCCGCCCAAGGAUGGGUCUGCGGCCUAUCAGGUAGUAGUGGGUGUAAUGUACCUACUAGCCAACAACGGGUACGGGUUGUGAGAGCAAGAGCCCGGAGAUGGAUUCUGAGACAUGAAUCCAGGCCCUACGGGGGGCAGCAGGCGCGAAAACUUUACAAUGCGGGAAACCGUGAUAAGGGAACACCGAGUGCCAGCAUCAUAUGCUGGCUGUCCAGAUGUGUAAACUACAUCUGUU